GCCUGGAUGGUGAAAUCGGUAGACACAAGGGACUUAAAAUCCCUCGGCCGCGAGGUCAUGCGGGUUCGACUCCCGCUCCAGGCACCA
rnacentral:tRNA from 1 species